UGAUGGCUGCUGUUAACCUAAACAACUCUCA
rnacentral:piRNA from 1 species